rnacentral:rRNA from 1 species
GAUGAACGCUGGCGGUGUGCUUAACACAUGCAAGUCGAACGAGAAGUGGAGACGGAAACCUUCGGGCGGAAGACUUUAUUUCGAGUGGCGGACGGGUGAGUAACGCGUGGGUAACCUGCCUCAUACAGGGGGAUAACAGUUGGAAACGACUGUUAAUACCGCAUAAGACCACAGCACCGCAUGGUGCGGGGGUAAAAACUCCGGUGGUAUGAGAUGGACCCGCGUUCGAUUAGCCAGUUGGCGGGGUAACGGCCCACCAAAGCGACGAUCGAUAGCCGAUCUGAGAGGAUGACCGGCCACAUUGGGACUGAGACACGGCCCAAACUCCUACGGGAGGCAGCAGUGGGGAAUAUUGCACAAUGGGGGAAACCCUGAUGCAGCGACGCCGCGUGAGUGAAGAAGUAUUUCGGUAUGUAAAGCUCUAUCAGCAGGGAAGAAAAUGACGGUACCUGAGGAAGAAGCCCCGGCUAACUACGUG